ensembl:snRNA U6 U6 spliceosomal RNA
GUGCUUGCUUCGGUGGCACAUAAACUGAAAUUGGAAUGAUACAGAGGAGAUUAGCAUGGCCCCUACGCAAGGAUGACACGCAAAUUCAUGAAGCAUUCCAUAUAAGA